CUGCUGCAGAGACACAAAAGUAAUUUUGGCUGUUGUCUUCUAUCAUUCUUUCUCUCUCUCCGAACAGCUACUGGCCGGCGCUCCAUUCGGCACAACGCGGAGCAAAACCAUUCCUAAAGAGCACUUUGCCUCGGCACAAGACCUGGACACCAUCUGGUCGCUCGGGGCAAGAUUUUCCUCUCUCUCUUUUUACUGCUUUACCAAUAUGUCGUGCAUAUUAUCUGUGUGACUGACUUGGAGGUUUAAUCACAGACACAAAUGCUGCCACUUUGUCAACAGGUUCUGUUUCGUGUCUGUGUUUCAGGGAUAUCUACAAUACUCUGUGCUUUUUUACGGCUACUAUGGUAAUGUGCGUAAAAUCGGCAGCGCUGGCUACAGACUUCCAUUGGCCUAUUUUCUGGUCGGGAUGGCAGUUUUUGCUUAUAGCUUCAUCACAUUGUUAAGAAAAAUGGCUAAAAACUCCCGGAUGAGUUUAGCUGGUGCCUCUGAUGAGAAUUACACCUUCUGUUGGCGUGUUUUCUGUGCGUGGGACUACCUGAUUGGGAACCUAGAGGCAGCUGAGAGUAAAGGGGCGGCCAUUGUCAACAGCAUCAGAGUAAGCAUCCUUUUCCAAACAAUUAUUAAUUUUAUUUGUUAACAUAUGUCUGC
rnacentral:lncRNA from 1 species